rnacentral:rRNA from 1 species
AGAAAACGCUGGCGGCGUGCCUAACACAUGCAAGUCGAACGGAGAUUUCAGCAAUGGAAUCUUAGUGGCGAACGGGUGAGUAACGCGUAGACAACCUACCUUCUAGCUGGGGACAACACUGCGAAAGUGGUGCUAAUACCGAAUGUUGUAUUUUGAGUGCAUACUUAAGAUACUAAAGGUGGCCUCUAUUUAUAAGCUAUCACUAGAAGAUGGGUCUGCGUCUGAUUAGCUAGUUGGUGAGGUAACGGCUCACCAAGGCGACCAUCAGUAUCCGGUCUGAGAGGAUGAACGGCCACACUGGGACUGAGACACGGCCCAGACUCCUACGGGAGGCAGCAGUGGGGAAUCUUCCGCAAUGGACGAAAGUCUGACGGAGCAACGCCGCGUGAGUGAACAAUGUUUUCGGAUCGUAAAACUCUGUUUUCAGGGACGAAUGUGUGGAUUGUAAAUAAUGAUCCAUAAUGACGGUACCUGACAAGAAAGCCACGGCUAACUACGUGCCAGCAGCCGCGGUAAUACGUAUGUGGCAAGCGUUGUCCGGAAUUAUUGGGCGUAAAGCUCGCGCAGGUGGGAUAAUCAAUCUGAUGUUAAAGUUCGGGGCUUAACCCCGUGAAGCAUUGGAUACUGUUAUUCUUGACUGCAAGAUAG